ensembl:snRNA U6 U6 spliceosomal RNA
CUGCUCGCUUCGGCAGCACAUAUACCAAAAUUGGAGACACAGGGAAGAUUAGCAUGGCCCCUGUGACAAGGAUGACACGCAAAUUCGUGAAGCAUUCAAAUAAAGA